GAUGAAGAACGCAGCGAAAUGUGAUAAGUAAUGUGAAUUGCAGAAUUCAGUGAAUCAUCGAAUCUUUGAACGCACAUUGCGCCCCUUGGUAUUCCGGGGGGCAUGCCUGUUCGAGCGUCAUUUCAACCCUCAAGCUCUGCUUGGUAUUGGGCUCCGUCCUCCUCGGACGCGCCUCAAAGACCUCGGCGGUGGCGUCUUGCCUCAAGCGUAGUAGAAACACCUCGCUUUGGAGUGCAUGGCGUCGCCCGCCGGACGAAACCUUUUGUAUUUUCUCAAGGUUGACCUCGGAUCAGGUAGGGAUACCCGCUGAACUUAAGCAUAUCAAUAAGCGGAGGA
rnacentral:misc_RNA from 1 species